rnacentral:rRNA from 1 species
CCUACGGGUGGCAGCAGUGAGGAAUAUUGGUCAAUGGACGAGAGUCUGAACCAGCCAAGUAGCGUGAAGGAUGACUGCCCUAUGGGUUGUAAACUUCUUUUAUAUGGGAAUAAAAUGUUCCACGUGUGGGAUUUUGUAUGUACCAUAUGAAUAAGGAUCGGCGAACUACGUGCCAGCAGCCGCGGUAAUACGGAGGAUCCGAGCGUUAUCCGGAUUUAUUGGGUUUAAAGGGAGCGUAGGUGGCUUGUUAAGUCAGUUGUGAAAGUUUGCGGCUCAACCGUAAAAUUGCAGUUGAAACUGGCAGUCUUGAGUACAGUAGAGGUGGGCGGAAUUCGUGGUGUAGCGGUGAAAUGCUUAGAUAUCACGAAGAACUCCGAUUGCGAAGGCAGUUCACUGGACUGCAACUGACACUGAGGCUCGAAAGUGUGGGUAUCAAACAGGAUUAGAUACCCCAGUAGUC